ensembl:snRNA U7 U7 small nuclear RNA
GAGUGCUAUAGCUCUUUUAGAAUUUGUCCAGCAGGCGGCCGGGCGUGGUGGCUCACGCCUGU